AUCAAAGCUCCGGCGGUACAGGAUGGACCCGCGUCUGAUUAGCUAGUUGGUAAGGUAACGGCUUACCAAGGCGACGAUCAGUAGCCGACCUGAGAGGGUGAUCGGCCACAUUGGAACUGAGAAACGGUCCCAGACUCCUACGGGAGGCAGCAGUGGGGAAUAUUGGGCAAUGGGCGAAAGCCUGACCCCAGCAACGCCGCGUGAGGGAAGAAGGGUUUCGGCUCGUAAACCUCUGUCCUAUGGGACGAAGGAAGUGACGGUACCAUAGGAGGAAGCCCCGGCUAACUACGUGCCAGCAGCCGCGGUAAUACGUAGGGGGCGAGCGUUGUCCGGAAUGAUUGGGCGUAAAGGGCGCGUAGGCGGCCUGCUAAGUCUGGAGUGAAAGUCCUGCUUUCAAGGUGGGAAUUGCUUUGGAUACUGGUGGGCUGGAGUGCAGGAGAGGAAAGCGGAAUUACCGGUGUAGCGGUGAAAUGCGUAGAGAUCGGUAGGAACACCAGUGGCGAAGGCGGCUUUCUGGACUGAAACUGACGCUGAGGCGCGAAAGCGUGGGGAGCAAACAGGAUUAGAUACCCUGGUAGUCCACGCCGUAAACGAUGACUACUAGGUGUCGGGUAGCAGAGCUAUUCGGUGCCGCAGCCAACGCAAUAAGUAGUCCACCUGGGGAGUACGUUCGCAGAGAAUGAAACUCAAAUGAAUUGAC
rnacentral:rRNA from 1 species